rnacentral:rRNA from 1 species
UACAGAGGGUGCAAGCGUUAAUCGGAAUUACUGGGCGUAAAGCGUGCGUAGGCGGUUAUGUAAGUCAGGUGUGAAAGCCCCGGGCUCAACCUGGGAAUGCCAUUUGAGACUGCAUAGCUAGGGUACGGAAGAGGGAAGCGGAAUUUCAGGUGUAGCGGUGAAAUGCGUAGAUAUCUGAAGGAACACCAGUGGCGAAAGCGGCUUCCUGGUCCAGUACCGACGUUCAGGCACGAAAGCGUGGGGAGCAAACAGG